UACGUAGGGGGCAAGCGUUGUCCGGAAUCAUUGGGCGUAAAGAGCGUGUAGGCGGCCCGGUAAGUCCGCCGUGAAAGUCCAGGGCUCAACCCUGGAAUGCCGGUGGAAACUGCCGGGCUGGAGUCCGGAAGAGGCGAGUGGAAUUCCUGGUGUAGCGGUGAAAUGCGCAGAUAUCAGGAGGAACACCAAUGGCGAAGGCAGCUCGCUGGGACGGUACUGACGCUGAAGCGCGAAAGCCAGGGGAGCGAACGGG
rnacentral:rRNA from 1 species